CUGGGCACUCAGUUACGCUCAGAAGCCUUGCAUAUGUGGUUGUAAUUCUACAAUCUGUCCUAAGAGAAAGGCAUUGGACAGCUAUGGCAUCGUUCCCGUACCUGUAGUCUACCUGGGGCAUCUUGCCCAACUGAGGUCUCUUCCACCUGUCUGGAACGGGCUCCCAUACUGAAAGCAUAGCGUCUUCUCACAGACACACAUCUUGGGGGCAGUCACGGCAACCUCAGAAAGCAAGGCCAGCCUUGUGAACGUAUUUUCAAGUCUCUUAUGUUAUUACAUCCAUUAAAGACUCGAUUGGCCAAAGCAAGUCACAUUAUUCCACUGUGAUGCUGUAGCAAUUAUGGGAAAGGUUUAUUUGCACUUGGGAGUAGUUUUCACUCCUCACAAAGGAGCUUUUUGUCUUCACUUUGUAGAAGAGGGGGAAGGGAUGGUUUGUUCCAGGAAUCGUAGCCGGCUUGCAGUGAACCAGGAGGUUUUGCUAUGGGGUGGGAUUGAAGCUGCCUGUGGUGGACUCUUCUUGACUUAUUCAGAAGUCCACCAUAGCCACUGGGCCAUCCCAGAGGUAGAGACUUCUCUAUUGAUCAUUCCCACCAGGGAUGCCCUCUGUCCUGCCUCAUGUGUGUGCUGACCAGCCUAUGUGAAAGAGUCUCAUGUCGGACCUAGGAAUAAAACACCCGGUUCUGUGUCUGCAGUCAAAUCCCUUUGCUGUUUAAGGGCCAUUGACACCGUCUCUUCUGAGAGCAUCCUUCUGUGAUGACUUUUCUGGAUCUUGGACAUGCUCAGAGCCCAGCUGAAGAAGAGCUGUCUGUUUAAUAGGAGUCUGGGGAAAGGUUCCUGUUUAUCAAAACACACCCACACAACAAAACUGCCGAGGAGUUCGCAUUGCCAGAAUCAGCCUGAGGCCAGGGUGAGGUGAAGAGAUAGGAUCUUAUUUAUUAAAGGAAACAAGAUUUUCUCUUGCUGCUCUGCUACAGGAGCAGAUGCUCUGAAGAUUGACGGAAUCCUAGGGCACAGGGAAGGAGUGUGGCGUGGGCUGAAGUACGGACUUAUUCAACACCUUGGUUCGGGACUCGCCCACCAACCCUUUCCCAAGUAACCACUAAUUUGCGCAUGCUCAGUGGCUGUUCUGCAAACAUGAAUGGAGGCUCUCAUCCAAUCUCCUAUUAGCCUUCUCUGCCCCGGACCCCAGCCUGUGGAAUGGUGCCAUUCACGUUCGGAGUGGAUCUUCACCCUUGGUUAAACUUCUCUGGGUGACUGGCAGUUGGGAAUCACCUAUGUUCUAGGGUCAUGAGGAUGAGGAACGAAAAAGAGAUGGUGGUGAUCCUGAGCUCCUUUGCAGAGAGGACCAUUCUUCUUCCUGCACUCUGGUUUGCUUGGCAGCUCAUCAUACAGGAUUCCAGCUCCCAUUGAGUGACCACAGAUCCAGCCUCCAGUAACAUCACAGCUUUCUUUUGUCCCUUCAGCCCUGGGAUGGUGGCUUCCUGCUGUUUAUUACAUUGAAGUCUCCUGGUUGGUUUAACAGCUCUCUCUGGGUUAUCCACACUGCUAGGAUGCCCCCAACUCCCCACACAGUUGGCCCAGACAAUUGUGGGUGCUGGAGAGAAAUCUCGAUUUUGCUAUAGGCUAGAGACUAACUAGCUAGUGGGAUAGCUGCUGUCUGAGGCCCAGAGCCUUACAACCAGGAGCCUCAAAGGUGUAAACAGCCCUGGGUUCAAGUCCAAAGGUAGGAUAUAAACUUUCCAAUUCAAAGACUUUCACACAGAGUGCACCCCCCUUACUCCGAUAAAAUUAAAGGAUAACUUAAGGGAGGAAAGGCAUGUUUAGCUGCUAGAUUCAUGUGGGUGUAUGUGUAGGGUUAAUCCAUCUGGGUGUGGAAGACAUUGUGGGUCCCUCUGUCUGUGAUGGCAGGAGCCUGUUGACUGAGAAGUGGAGACCAUGGUCAGAACCAGGACAGGUUUGACCUUCAAAGGCCUGCCUCUAGUGAUCUGUAUCCUACACUCUGAAAGAUCCAUAGCCUUUCAAACAAUGCUACCUGCCCAGGAUGGAGUGUUGAAACCAUGAACAUGUGGGAACCAUUCCGGACUGAAACCUUAGCAACCAGCCAUGUUUAGGAGCAGAUUGUGGAGGGCAGCAUGUUUUACUGGCAUAUUGAAUCAGCUGCUGAUUUCAUCCAGGAAAAACAAUGCCAUAGACAUACUGAAAGCAACAUUUAAUCACAUAUCUGAGCACCCCACCAUCCAAUCCAGUAGACAUGCUAAAUCAAUUGUCAGACUUAUUCUCUGAGUUUGUUCCAAUCCAAUGAUGUUUCCCUGUUUCCCUGGUUGGACUCUUGUCUGAUGCAGGGAUGAAAGUUUUCUUGUGACAUUGGUGUUCUGUUUUUAGAUAGCUAAGUAGGAAAAAAAUGUCAAAUUCAAUGAUAUUUCUCAAAUCAUGUGCCAUGAGCGAUUGAGUGAUGAUGUAAGUUAUUAUGGUCUCAUGUCAUUGUAACAUGACAGUGUAUAUCUUUUGGAUUUAUUGUUUGUGUCUAAAUUAAAGUCUACUUCUAAAUUUAUAGGUUUGUACUCUGAAAACAUUAUAAAAUAAACUGUUGAUAUUAAAAUCUCAUUAAUUGUUAGGAUUGUGAACUAUUGCGAGAAUAAACUGUUGCAGUAAUUAAUUUUGUUGAUGAAAGUAAAUUUUAUUAUUCAGUCAUCUUCAAAUAUUUUCAGUCAACAAAUAGCAGAGAGAUAAAUAAUGGCUAACACUCAAAUACUAAGAGUGUAAACUAGAUAGCUUUAGGAGGAAUAUUUUUCCUUUCUGAGGCAAGCAAUAUUUAUAAUUUUAAAUAAUAAUAUAGAACAGAAUAAUAGGAAUUAGAUUGUAUCACGGUUACAGUAUUUGUGGAACCUGCACUGGUAACGUUAAACAAAACAAGCUUUAAUAACUGCAUUUAAUUUUUAGCUAUUUAAUCCUAUCUAGGAGUUCUAUCUAGGUCAUGAGGAUUUCAAGAAAAGCAUUUGAAUGUUUCUUGAUAUCCCGAGAGAAUGAAUUGGAAGCGAAAUGUCACCUUUGCUACUUCAAAACAUGAGGAAAAACCUCCCAAAUUAUGUGUAAUAGUCGCAACGAAUCUGACCCAGAUGCAAUAAGAAUACAAAACAUGAAGGAUUAGGGAAAGAGGAGGCGACCCAGAUAGUUCUUCUUCCCUGAACUCAACAGGGAGGGAACAGUUAUUUAAUAUUACCACCGACUUGAGAUAAGAGGUGCUAGGACCACCCUGACUGCUAACAGCCCUCAGGGAUUAUUAUUUCUGCCUUAAGACAGCGGCUCUUCCAAACGAGACAGCAGAAACAU
rnacentral:sRNA from 1 species